CCUACGGGAGGCAGCAGUGAGGAAUAUUGGUCAAUGGGCGCAAGCCUGAACGAGCCAAGUCGCGUGAGGGAUGACGGUCCUAUGGAUUGUAAACCUCUUUUGUCGGGGAGCAAGGCCCGCCACGUGUGGCGGGAAGGAGAGUACCCGAAGAAAAAGCAUCGGCUAAUUCCGUGCCAGCAGCCGCGGUAAUACGGAGGAUGCGAGCGUUAUCCGGAUUUAUUGGGUUUAAAGGGUGCGUAGGUGGAAGGUUAAGGCAGCGGUAAAAUGUCGGUGCUCAACACCGGCCUGCCGUUGAAACUGGUCUUCUUGAGUGAGCGAGAAGUAUGCGGAAUGCGUGGUGUAGCGGUGAAAUGCAUAGAUAUCACGCAGAACUCCGAUUGCGAAGGCAGCAUACCGGCGCUCAACUGACGCUGAGGCACGAAAGCGUGGGGAUCGAACAGGAUUAGAUACCCGAGUAGUC
rnacentral:rRNA from 1 species